GACGAAUCAGAUAUCCGUGACUUCUGCAAACUGGGAUGUAUGCACUCUGUUUGUGAAAAAAUAUACACCGCAUUUAGCAAUGAGGAAGCGAAUGAUGCCGUGGAACGUUGCAACGAUGCAUGCCUUAGUUUCUGCACCAAGGACGUUGACGCCGCUACUGUUGUUGCCUAAGCAAGUGCAUGCACUGGGGUUUCACGUGGUAGUCAAAGCCAUGUUGCUGUUAUGUCUUCAAUAAUUGGAUGCUUGCAUGCAUCCAACAAGCUGUGUCAUCUUGUUUCAGUUUCUUUCUUCUAUUUCGAAUAAGGGUCAGGGUGAUAUCAUUUUCUUUGGAGAAUGUUAUCAUCUAUGUCGAAUAUAACCUUGGCCAAUGAA